GCCCGGGUGGUCUAACUGGCAAUGAUUCGCGCUUUUGGGAUUUUGUCCCUUCUUAUUAGAAACACUGCGAGGUUCCGCGUUCGAAUCGCGGCUUGGGCC